rnacentral:rRNA from 1 species
GACGAACGCUGGCGGCGUGCUUAACACAUGCAAGUCGAACGGAAAGGCCCUGCUUGCAGGGUGCUCGAGUGGCGAACGGGUGAGUAACACGUGGGUGUUCUCCCCUGCACUUCGGGUUACGCCUGGGAAACUGGGUCUAUAACCGCAUAGAGGCGAUCUUGAGGGUGGGGGUUGGUAAGAUUUUUCGGUGUGGGAUGAGCUGGCGGGCUAUUAGCUUGUUGGUGGGGUAAUGGCCUACCAAGGCGGCGAAGGGUAGCUGGCCUGAGAGGGUGGACCGCCAACAUGGGGCCUGAGAAACGCCCAAGAUCCGAAGGGGAGGCAGAGUGGGGAAAUAUGGCACAAGGGGGGAAGGCUGGUGAAGGGAAGCCGCGGGGGGGAAGGCGGGCUUAGGGUUGUAAAACCGCUUUGGUAGGUGAGAAGGCUUGUGUGACGGUACCUAGAUAAGAAGCACCGGCUAACUACGUG